rnacentral:lncRNA from 1 species
CUCCUAUUUCUGAUGGACUGUUGUCUGUUCCUCAAGGGAAUCCUCCUGCUAGCCAUCAUUCUGUUGCAAGAAUAGAUGGCCAGAGCUCUGUGAUACCAGGGUUGAGCGGACAAGAUUAUGACCAGUUGAUGGACUUGUUACACCAGACCAAGUUAAGGGAAUCCACUGCUCAAACUCCUCUUCCCAUAUAUGCUGCAAACUUUGC